rfam:Picea glauca, whole genome shotgun sequence.
UACCUGGUUGAUCCUGCCAGUAUUCAUAUGAUUGUCUCAAAGAUUAGUCCAUGUAUGUCUAAGUAUGAACUAAUUCAGACUGUGAAACUGUGGAUGGCUCAUUAAAUCAAUUAUAGUUUCUUUGAUAGUACCCUACUACUCAGAUAACCAUAGUAAUUCUAGAUCUAAUACGUGCACCAAGUCCCAACUCUUUGUAAGGGAUGCAUUUAUUAGAUAAAAGGUCGACGCGGGCUUUCCCUCUUCUCCGAUGAAUCAUGAUAACUCAAUGGAUUGCACAACCCUUGUGUUGGUGAUGCUUCAUUCAAAUUUAUGCCCUAUCAACUUUCGAUGGUAGGAUAGAGGCCUACCAUGGUGGUGAUGGGUGAUGGAGAAUUAGGGUUUGAUUCCGGAGAGGGAGCCUGAGAAACGAAUAACACAUCCAAGGAAGGUAGUAGGUGUGAAAAUUACCCAAUCCUGACAUGGGGGUGUAGUGACAAUAAAUAACAAUACUGGGCUCAUCGAGUCUGGUAAUUGGAAUGAGGACAAUAUAAAUUCCUUAAUGAGGAUCCAUUGGAGGGAAAUUCUGGUGCCAACAGCCAUGGUAAUUCUAUCUCCAAUAUCAUAUAUUUAAUUUGUUGCAGUUAAAAAGAUUGUAGUUGGACCUUGGGUUGUAAAGGUUGGUCCACCAACUCGGUGUGCACCUGCCCUUUCGUCCCUUUUGCCGGAAGCAUGCUCCUAGCCUUAAUUGGCUGGGUCAUGGUUAUGGCAUUGUUACCUUGAAAAAUUAGAGUGAUCUAAGCAAUCUUAUGCUCUGAAUACAUUAGCAUGGAAUAACAUGAUAGGAGUCUGGUCGUAUUGUGUUGGCCUUCAGGACUAGAGUAAUGAUUAAUAGGGACUAUCGGGGGCAUUCAUAUUUCAUUGUCAGAGGUGAAAUUCUUGUAUUUAUGAAAGAUGAACCACUAUGAAAGAAUUUUCCAAGGAUUUUUUCAUUAAUCAAGAAUGAAAGUUGGGGGCUCGAAGACGAUCAGAUACCAUCCUAUUCUCAACCAUAAAUGAUGUCGACCAGAGAUCGAUAGAUGUUUCUCUAAGGACUCCACCAACACCUUCUGAGAAAUCAGAGUGUUUGGGUUCCAGGGGGAGUAUGGUCACAAGGCUGAAACUUAAAGGAAUUGAUGGAAGGGAACCACCAGGAGUGGAGCUUGUGGCUUAAUUUGACUCAACACGGGAAAACUUACCAGGUCCAUACAUAGUAAGGAUUGACAGAUUGAGAGCUCUUUCUUGAUUCUAUGGGUGGUGGUGCAUGAUCGUUCUUAGUUGGUGGAGCGAUUAGUCUAGUUAAUUUCGAUAAUGAAUAAGACCUCAACCUGCUAACUAGCUACGUGGAGGUUCCCCUUCACAGCCAGCUUCUUAGAGGUACUAUGGCCAUUUAUCCCAUGGAAGUUUGAGGCAAUAACAGGUCUGUGAUGCCCUUAUAUGUUCUGGGCCGCACGUGCACUACACUGAUGUAGUCAAUGAUUUUUUCUCCCUAGUUUGAGAGGAUUGGGAAAUAUUCUCAAAUUGCAUUAUGAUGGGGAUAGACCAUUGCAAUUAUUGGUCUUCAAUGAGGAAUUCCUAGUAAGCGGGUUUCAUCAGCUCGUGUUGACUACGUCCUUGCCCUUUGUACACACUACUCGUCACUCCUACCAAUUGAAUGAUACAGUGAAGUGUUCAGAUCGCAUCAACGAGGGUGGUUCACCACUGACGAUGUCAUGAGAAGUUCACUAAACCUUAUCAUUUAGAGGAAGGAGAAGUCGUAACAAGGUUACCAUAGGUGAACCUACGAUAGGAUCAUUG